CCUACGGGAGGCAGCAGUGAGGAAUAUUGGUCAAUGGACGAGAGUCUGAACCAGCCAAGUAGCGUGAAGGAUGACUGCCCUAUGGGUUGUAAACUUCUUUUAUAUGGGAAUAAAAUGUUCCACGUGUGGGAUUUUGUAUGUACCAUAUGAAUAAGGAUCGGCUAACUCCGUGCCAGCAGCCGCGGUAAUACGGAGGAUCCGAGCGUUAUCCGGAUUUAUUGGGUUUAAAGGGAGCGUAGGUGGAUUGUUAAGUCAGUUGUGAAAGUUUGCGGCUCAACCGUAAAAUUGCAGUUGAAACUGGCAGUCUUGAGUACAGUAGAGGUGGGCGGAAUUCGGGGUGUAGCGGUGAAAUGCGUAGAUAUCACGAAGAACUCCGAUUGCGAAGGCAGUUCACUGGACUGCAACUGACACUGAGGCUCGAAAGUGUGGGUAUCAAACAGGAUUAGAUACCCCGGUAGUC
rnacentral:rRNA from 1 species